GACACGGAGUUAGCCGGUGCUUAUUCAUAUAAUACCGUCAUUAUCUUCUUAUAUAAAAGGAGUUUACGCACCGAAAUGUGUCAUCCUCCACGCGGCGUUGCUGCAUCAGGCUUUCGCCCAUUGUGCAAUAUUC
rnacentral:rRNA from 1 species